GUCGUCGCUUCGACAUUUCUUUUAAAAUUGUAUUUAAACCUGUGCUUUGCCUUUGAACUCGUGAUCGGCAUACAUCACUAUUUUUUAGACACUAUCCAAUUUCCGUCCAAAAUUUAUCGCAGUGGAUUAUGAUAUCGCCAUAUCACCUGAUCAAUUUUUUAUAAUAUAUCGCAGUAAUUGUAACGACACCAUAAACAACAUCUUAUUAUUAAACGCCGAGAUUGCGCGCUUGGUCGAUUCACAAUCAAGACAGGCAAAAUUUCACGUCUAUCUGAAACUAGUUGGCCGUGAAGGAUACAAUGUGCGGCAGUGCGGGCUUGGGCGCAUAAAUACAUACAUACUGAUACUCAACAUUAAGGAAAUUUUAUAGCAGGUGUAGAAUAUGUUUUCAGAUUUUGUUUUGUAUGCUUAUUCCCUUGCAUGCUUAUUACCUUAUUACCUUAUUGCUUGCUUAUGUGUGCUUAUUCCCUUGCAUGCUUAUUACCUUAUUACCUUGUUACC